rnacentral:rRNA from 1 species
UACGAAGGGGGCUAGCGUUGCUCGGAAUCACUGGGCGUAAAGGGUGCGUAGGCGGGUCUUUAAGUCAGGGGUGAAAUCCUGGAGCUUAACUAUAGAAUUGCCAUUGAAACUGAAAGUCUCGAGUGUGGUUGAGGUAACUGGAAUAUAUCAUGUAGCGGUGAAAUGCUUAGAUAUGAUAUAGAACACCAAUUGCGAAGGCAGGUUACUGAGCCAUUACUGACGCUGAGGCACGAAAGCGUGGGGAUCAAACAGG